CUGCUGCUGUUGCCUCGCGAUCUGUGGAGAAACAGAGAACACUGACAACACAGGGUAGGGAAGACCAACCUUCUGCCCGCUGCAGUUGGAUCUGACACCAGCUGAAAGAUGGAAGCACCGCCCUUCCAUGAGCUGAGUUGUCAGCAAUUCAUCCUUAAGGAGAAUCAAGAGAGACAUUCCGUCUCAGCAACCACGAACACCUUGUUUAAAGCCUAAACGGUGCCUCAUCUCAAGACUUUCCAGUAGAUUAGGCUGACUGGUCAACUGGCCUUAGGAAACCACCUACCUCAGCCCUGGGCUUACAAGCGUCAAUCACCACACCUGGCUUUCUUAGGAGGGUUCUCAAAGAUUGAAGUCAGGCAUCAUACGAAGGAGUCAAGCAGUUAACAGACUGAGCUGACUCCAAAGCUCCUUCCCCUAAUCUUACAGAAGAGAAUCUAUGAAUGUAGAGUUGGGCUGCGAAUGCCUGUUUGAGACAAAUGUCCAGGCUGGGAGAGCAGUUUGGGUGCCAGAAGCCUGACCUGUACCUGUCCCGAGAGCACUCAAGGCUAUGGAAGUAGCAUCACAAGGCAUCUCUACCACCAGAAAGCGCUUUUGGAAAGACCUCGGGGUUACUUUAUAAGGUUCCAAGAAGAAUGGCAAAGAUCUUGGGAAAGGAAG
rnacentral:lncRNA from 1 species